CGGGGCCGGGGCGCUGUCUGAGAGGCCUAUAAUUCUCACAGUGAACCGGUCUCUUU
ensembl:miRNA MIR128-1 microRNA 128-1